GGCCGGUGCGGCGCGGCCUGCGCCGCGGCGGCUACUCACAGCAGGUCGGGCCGGUGCCGGUGGAGGAUGGCGCAGAAGGCCAGGCCGUCGCGGAAGGAGGAGCUGAGGAGUAGAGAACGGCAUCCUGUCCCUGGAGGAGACAAGAAGUCUGUGGUGUGGGGAUCUGGCAGGAUUGCGCAGGCUGGAACCAGCCACUCUUUGGUGUUCGGCCCCUGGACCAAUAUCAAGAUCCUGCAUCAGGCAAAGGCAUUUCCACUGGAGCACAGCAAAUGUUGAGUUUACUGCUGCUGGUCCCAAAUCAACAGGUCCUGCAGAGCCCUAAGCUUCCCCAUAUGUCUUCUACAGAGCUACACGAUUCUCCUGCCCAGAUCUCACCUCCUCAAACUUGUGGAUCUGGCGGAUGAAGAAGUCCCCAUAGCGUCGAGCAACCUUUGUAUCUGCAAUGUGGAUCAUAUCCUGUGGAGGGAACAGCAUUAAGUCAGGAGACUGACAGGGCUAGUAGGGAGACAGCAACCCCUGUCAAAUGGGAGGAGCAACCAAAGGAGCUUCACUCCAGCCCUGAUUCAGCACCAAUCACGUGCCUGACCUGUACUAGUUCUAGAGCAACCUCAUUCAGUUCCCUUUGGACUGCCUUCCCUUUACCCUUCCCUGUGAUGUGUCCCGAAUUCACACUGUAUUCACUUCUCAUGUUCUUAAGUCUCUCCAUCUAAGUUCAGCCCUCUUUGCAGCAGUCUGACAUGCUUUGUCAAACUUCAUCAGCCUUGAUUCGUGCUCUGCUUCCUUCUACUAACCGGUAAGAGCAGCACCAUCUACUAGGAGAGCUGGAUUUGCAGUGCAAGUCAAUCAGUCACAGGUCAGUUUGGUUCAGGAGAACAGGGAAGACAAAGCAUGAAUGAGGCCUUGCAGGAAGAGGUCUGCUCUAAGGACCACAAACCUGGAACAAUUAGUCCUCCUUGUCUGGCAGACAGCAAGAAACCUAAUGCUGCUAUCCUCUUUGAGGAAUGAAAACAACAUCCUAAAAGACUUUCCUACAGCCUUCUACACUGUUCCGAGCUCUAAGACCAGGCUGGUGACUACAUCAUAUCUUGAGUUUAGGUUCCCAGCAGAGAAGACAGGGCUAAAUGCCGCUCCAGUGAAAAAUGGAGGCACAACAUGGCCAGCUGAGAUACCUCAUUUGUUAAGUAAAGGAGAGAUGUGGUGGAGAUCUACAAAGCUGACAAUCCCACCUGAUACACUGACAGCACAACCUGUCACCCAACUAUCAUCUCCCGAGAGCAGACAAAUGGCUCCCUUAGCCUAGGGAAAGAUAUUUAGGAACUUUUUAUUUUUCCCUUGGGUGCAACGACUGUCAUAGCUGCCUAUAUCUUCCCACCACUGUUCAUCUAUUGACACUCAUAUUAAACAGGGCUACAGCUUCAUCGUGGGCAGUCAAACCACUUCACAUGGCAAAGAAAGGGAUGUUUCCCAUAUACUGUACCCAAACCUGGCGUUACCGCUUCCAGAGCUUCCUGGGUGGAGGUGCAGGCUGGUAAGGGGCACAUACUAACCUUGUCAAUAUAGAAGUCUACCUCAGAGGCAGACUGGAACUCCCCAUCCAGGGCGGAGAUGCCACUGGUCCACACCAGGUUCUUCAUCUUAUGCUUGAAAACAAGCAGCUGGAUGCGAAACUCCUGCUCUGUGAGGUCCAAGAAGCCAGCCAGCUUGGCCACAGGCAUGGUGGUAUAGAGCUUGAGGAAGCUACGGAUGGUGGAGAGCUGGGCCUGCUGCUGAACCUCAUCAGCAAAGACCUUGAGCUGCUGCAGGAAGGGCUCCUUGUGGUAGUUGGGGUGCACGUUGUCAUAGUUGGGCACCACAGGAGAGAGGAACUUGGGGCAAGCGUAACUAAAGAGCUCUUCAUAGACUUGUGCGUCACCCUUCUGCAUGCGCAGCAUCUUAUCCCCGUAUUUCUCUCGCAGCUGCAGAUGGAUGCUUUCAUCUAUGCGCAUGGGGUACAUGGUGAGGGCGAUGGCCAAGAGUGCGUGCAUCUGCUCGUUCUGCUUGUUUAUCUGAGACAGAAAGGAGAAGCUGUUAACUAGUCAAUGUGCUCAGGCUUUAUGGUGCAUGAAAGAGCUGGGAGCUGCAUUAUUUCAGAGAGAGACCAUUUACCCAAAGCCUUGAUGGUCCUGAUGGUUAAGAGAGACAAUGCAAAAAAAACAGCACUUCUGUGCAAAGCAGAUGCACAAGUAUCAAGGCUAUCGUCAGUGAAAAAGAAAAAAAAGAGAGAAAGACAGUGGAGUGAAUGAAUCCAGAGCUAUACAGAAUCUGUAAAGGCAGAAGCAAGUUAGACUGCUUUGGUGCAAGAAAGGGCAGAGGAUUAGCUGUAACAAAGGCAGAUAAUUUAACAGCCACAUCCUAAACAGACUUGGCAAGGAACAGUUAUCAGGAAGACCACUGAGGAAAACACUAGGAAAAUCUCAGUGUGGGAUGAAAUAGACAGCUGAACAGCUAAAAUGAACACAGGAAAUUUUUGAAGCAUUGUGGAAUUAGAGAUUGUGGGAUUUGGCUAUGCAAGAAGUUAAAAUUUAAAUAUAAGGAUGAAAAGGAGAUAGUAGAAGCAAGGGACAAAUGAACAUCAGAGACAGGUUAGACAGAAAGAGACAGGAGCUUUGCUUUAGUCACACCGAGUUUAAACAGUCUGUGAAGCGUAUGACAAUGGAAGUAGGCUGAAAUGUAGAACUUGACCAGGACUGAAUCUGAAGAAACAUUGACAAGCUCACUAGCAGCUGAUAUUCAUUAACAAAGUUGCCCAGAGUGAAAGCCCAGAUGGAGCAGGAGUAAUUGAGCAUACAUAACAACCAAAGGAAUGAGUAGAACAGCCAGGAAAAAAAUCGCCACAUAUGACAAAAGAGGUCAUAGGACCCCUAGUCACCAUCAGCAGCACAGUCCAGGAAGAUAAGGGUAGACUAUUAGAUGUAGGUUAUCAGGUGACAGAGGAGAGACAGGAAAGAAGGCAGCAGCCUUUCUUUCUGGGAAAACCUAUACCUUUUCUAGCUCUUACCAUCUCGUACUUGUAGGUUGUCCUCUGAAACAUGCUCUUCGUCCUCUGGAUGUAGAGGAGGAUGUUGGCAAAGACACGGAUAGCAUCCUGGUAACGCCGCAUCAUAAGGUAGGCAAAGCCCACGUAGUAGUAGGUGGUCACCUGGCACUCAGGCACCCGAGAGUACAUGCUCUGAGAAGGAUGGAUGUUAACAACGCUAUGUUAGAGGGGAGAUAAUCACCUUUGACCUGAACAGCCCGUUACCCAGAAGCCAGCUGCCUCUGCAUCCAUUCCAGUCCCACAAAUAAAGGGAGAAGGUCACUGCAGAAUAUCUUACCUCCCACCCUUCCCUGCAAAAGCUUCCUCUUUGCGCUUUAGUUGAUCAUCUCAAUUCCUACGUUUUCCAGUUCUAGCUUCUUGCAAGUAGGACUCCUGACCUGUGCCUAAAAUUGCUUUGCUCAGUCUUGCUCCCUUUCCCUCUAUUUCAGUCUAUACCCUGUGCCAGAGAGCACAUAGGUGGAUCUGUGCCAACCUGUGUUGCAGCUGGACUUUUGAUAGCCACUAUUAUCAUAAAUCACCCAGCUCUAGGGAGAGCACUUGUAAAGUGAGUGGGCUUAGUAAGAACAAGUGGGUCAAGAAUCUUUUAAAGAAAGGAGUCAUUAACUAAGAUGGGAACAAUGUAUCCAGUUUGUACUGUGUUAUCACUUAUGGUUCAAUUAAUAUUCCCCAUAAGAAAGUUGUCUCCUGCAAACAAACCUCCUAAAAAGAUAGUCAUAUGUGCAACAACAGCAACACGCAUGCAACAAGCCAUCAUAUGGCUUGAUUUAAGUGUCAAAGCUCCAGCUGUGUUCAACAAGCACGAGAAUGGAACUAGACACUUCUUCCAGCUCCUCCUACAAACAAGUUCCUUACACCUACAACAGCUAAAAACAGCUUGUCAGCUAGAAUAUUCAUUAUGGCAAUCUUUCAGGAGCAUAUUUGAAUAAAAGCACUUGAGAAAUUUCAAAGGAAGGUUUUACAACAUGUCUUACUACCUUCUUGUUAAGCUCAAUGUUCUCCAGAACUUUGAUAGCUUGGUAAUAAUCCCCCAGUAGAGAGUGCAGACGCAACAGACCAACCAGACUGAAAUAACCCAACAUCUUGUAGAGGGAGUGGCGACCAUAUUCUCCAGCCACGCUUUCAGGAUCACCUAGAAAUAAAGAACCAUGAUGCUCUCCUCCAAAGGAGCAAGCUCUUUGUUCACAGGAAAAGGGAGCAAGAUCUCAAGUGUAACCAUCGACACAUCUCAAAUAACAAGACCAAGAUAACCCUCUUCCCAACAUAUCCACUAAGGGUUUGAUCCAGCUCCCAAAGAAAGCCAGAGCUUGGUCAAACCAAAGCAAUGCAGAACAGACACCAGUCUUGCCUGCUGUCACCCAGCUACCUCACCUCCACUAGUAUAGACCUCCAGCUGUCGAUUGAUGUUGGACUUGUCCACCAGAGAGUGCAGCACGUUAAGGACACUGUGGACAUUCCAGAUCUUGGGGUUGGAUCGAAGGAAAUCAAUUUCUUCUUCGGACUUCUUAGCUGUCUUGCAGCGGUAUUGGCUGAAGGACUGAAACUAUGGGAAAAAGAAAAGAAGAUAUUUGCUAAUGAGAAGCUAGUAUGGAAAUGUUCAUCUACGUGCACCUGGAUGAUAAGUUGAUCAUGCAAAUGCAGUACAAUAAACUACAGGUCACAUUAAAGAGUCUUAAUUUGAGAUCACCUGGCAACCAAGAAGGUAAAUAUACCAGCAUUAAAGGGACUUGCGAAAAUUUGAUAAAGUGCAGAGACAGUCUGAGGCCAAAAAAUAGAACCAAGAUGUGAAGGAUCUCUAGACAACUAGGCUGGGCAACAGGGCAUAAAUUUGCUGUCUGAUGAGGUAGCAAAGAGAGUCACCAAGUAAAUACGAUGUAUCUGUAUAUGCACACAUCUCUUUCUACAUAAGCUUGAGAAGACCGCACUUGAGAUACUGUGAGGAAUUCCAAGCACCUCUAUGAUAGAGGUUAUAGAGAAGGGAAUUUACAGAGGAAAAAAGAGAAAAAAAACAUUUAAGAUCUAAAUUACUGCACUUAGAACAAUAAGUGGAAAAAUAUUCCCUAACAUCAAAAUCUCAGACUGUGGAUUAUUUCAAAUAAGGACAGUAAUCUCUCAGUGCAAGCAUAAAGGUCCCAGUGCCUAAGAAAUACAAAGCUAGAGUAAAACCAUAGAACACAAUAGAACUAGUGUGAACAAGUAUCUUAAUAGGAUCUUUAUGAUUAUAGCAGAUUUCAGUCAGGUGGCUUUGCAAAACUCAAGCAGAGAUGAAGGCGAGUUUAAAAAAAAAACAAAAAAAACCAACAACAAACUAGUAUAAAUGUCACAAACAAAUGUCAAUAGCGGCCCAGGGCUCCUCAAACACUGCCCAGUAACUUAAAAAACAGCAAGUCCACAACUGCUUCAGCUACCAGGCAACCUACUAAUAAUAGUGCCUAUCAAAAGUUUAUCAACCUAUAGUGAUAUCCUAGCUACAAGAAUCACAGAGAAGGGGGAGAUGGAAAAAUCUAAUAGCUCUGACAGACCCCAGGCUUCCCCAAAAUGGCCCAGUCAUAUAGUCAUAUACCUGGUAUAUGAAUUCAUCUAUGAUAUCCCAGAGCCACUGGUUGGGCAGUUCCAGAGGAGCUGGACCAUCAGCAUCUAUAGAAGAACAUAAAUGUUCUUAAUACCUUAAGAACCUUUGUUCAUAAUACCUUAAGCAAGAAUAAUAGCUGCAGGCAUCAAAUGGAUGAAGUCUCCAGCAGGGAGAUAAUAUGCAGUUCUGGCUACCUCCAUUUUUUAAGUAUAUUAGUGUAGGGGUAUAAUCUCUGGAGUGGGACUACUAAGCAGGAGUGACUCUUAGAAGCUGCUCAGAUUCUAAAGGGUUAUCCUCAUUGAUCUAUUCUCUGUGAGAAGAGCAGCAGGAAGUCAACAUUUAAAUUUGUCCCAAGGAGAGUCAGCAACUGCAAAUAGUUGUGAAAUGCUGCAGCAAUCUUCUCCUAACUUGCGGCCUCAUUUUCUUUAUUAAUAAAGAUAAGUGUUUCCUUUUGCCAACCCUCAUUAAAACAGGAAGCGAUAUAAGUUUAUUUUAGAAGUAUUUCAGAAAGUCCUGAAAGUAUUUAGAUUUUUUGUGAUUUUUAAAAGCAUAGAUGUUAAGUGCUCUUCCUUCAACAAUCUCAAAAAUACAGAAACUUCACAGGCUGCUUCCCCUAUACGCUCUAUAACUGAACGUGUUCUAGUUCUUUUUCAACCCCCUCUUCAUCCUGCACACUCUUCCUCUCCAAAAUUCACAAACUGGAAAUGAAUUGCAGCAACUCACUGAGGAUGUAGUUGAAGAGAUUGCAAUAAUUGUAAUAGGACUCAAAUCUCUGCUCCAGAGUGGGCCCCCCCUGCAAUGAGAAGUCAAUACAAUCUGUUUAGUUUCAGACAGCAGAAAUGAAUUCAUGGGCAACAGCAUAUGAAGGACAGAUAACAAUCACAUCAGUAGAUGUUUUUUUCCAGUAAUAUUAGAGCCAAUAUCUCGAUGUUCAACCAGGCCCACAAGCACCACGCAAGAAACCUGAGAUUUUAUCACUCUUGCCCAGUACAAAAGUUCUGACUUUCCAUGUGCAGGCUGCUUUUCCUAAUACAUACAACCAAGCAUUCAAACUUCCGGCAACUGGGAUGCCUCAUUUUUCCUUGUCCUCCUCACUGCUGUACAGACUCAAGAACUUAUUACUACCCUUCACAGUUUUCCAGCCUUCUGCCCUCACGAGAAGCCUUAACAAAUCUUGACAAUUCUGCUUCUAGUCAACAGCUCCAAACUCUUUGAAAGACAAGUAAACAUGUUAAGGAAU